CCUACGGGUGGCAGCAGUGGGGAAUAUUGCACAAUGGGGGAAACCCUGAUGCAGCAACGCCGCGUGAGUGAAGAAGUAAUUCGUUACGUAAAGCUCUAUCAUCAGGGACGAAAAUUACCGUACCUUAGUAAGAAGCCCCUGCCAACUACGUUCCAGCAGCCGCGGUAAUACGUAGGGGGCAAGCGUUAUCCGGAUUUACUGGGUGUAAAGGGAGGGUAAACGGUGCUCCAAGUCCGGAGUGAAAUUCGGCAGAUUAACUGCGAAACGGCUUUGGAAACUGGCGAACUAGAGUGAUGGAGGGGUAAGCGGAAUUCCUAGUGUAGCGGUGAAAUGCGUAGAUAUUAGGAGGAACACCAGUGGCGAAGGCGGCUUACUGGACAGUAACUGACGUUGAGGCUCGAAAGCGUGGGGAGCAAACAGGAUUAGAUACCCGAGUAGUC
rnacentral:rRNA from 1 species